GGCUAUAGCUCAGUGGUAGAGCGCUUGCCUAGCAUGUGUGAGGCACUGGGUUUGAUCCUCAGCACCA
rnacentral:tRNA from 1 species